AUUGCUACAAAACAUGAUGAUUCUAUUAUUAAAGAUAAGCAAAGAAAAUAAUGACGAAUAAACAAACGCCUUACCCGUUCUAGAGUUACUGGUAGACAAAAUAAUAAAGAACUACGCUUGAAAUGAACUCAUCUGGAGGCUAACCCUAAUCCCUCACAUUGCUACCAAACAUGAUGAAUCUAUUAUUAAAGAUAAGCAAAGGAAAAAAUGGCGAUUCAACAAACGCCUUACCCGUUCUAGAGUUACUGGUGGCCAAGAUAAUAAGGCACUUUGAACUCCUCUGGAGUUGCCUCCAAAUGAUAUUUCUAUCACCACUACCACAAUCCCUAUGCCACCUCUGCCUAAUUUUUAACAAAUAUAAGCAUUUAAUUCCACUAUCAUUCACCUCAUUAGGAGUUAUUAUAAAUAAUACUUUAUCCGAUUC